CCUACGGGUGGCUGCAGUGGGGAAUAUUGCACAAUGGGGGAAACCCUGAUGCAGCGACGCCGCGUGAGUGAAGACGUUUCUCGGUAUGUUAAGCUCUGUCAGCAGGGAAGAAAAUGACGGUACCUGUCCCAGAAGCCCCAGCUAACUCCGUGCCAGCAGCCGCGGUCAUACGUAGGGGGGCAGCGGUAUCCCGAUUUACUGGGGGUAAAGGGGGAGUAGACGGCAUGGCAAGUUUGGAGUGAAAGGCGGGGGCUCAACCCCCGGACGGCCCUGGAAACUGCGAGGCUGGAGUGCAGGAGAGGUAAGGGGAAUGCGUGGUGUAGCGGUGAAAUGCGUAGAUAUUAGGAGGAACACCAGUGGCGAAGGCGGCUUACUGGACUGUAACUGACGUGGAGGCUCGAAAGCGUGGGGAGCAAACAGGAUUAGAUACCCGGGUAGUC
rnacentral:rRNA from 1 species